rnacentral:tRNA from 1 species
GGUCUUAUAUUCAUAAUUAAAUGAUAUUGGAAUGCAAUUCUAAAGGUGUAAAUUUAAAAUACUAAGACUU